CUUUCCCCUUCUAUUUUGUUCCAUCAAAAUUUUGCUUGGCUACUUAAACAUUGAAAGGUCCCUCACAAAAUAAGUUCCAGCAAUCAUUGAUUGGCUUUUUUGCUUGCAGGUCAGAUCCCACAUCGUGCAAAUCAACUCUACCUAAGCCGACCGGCCUCCGUCACCAACACCAAGUCCAUCAGAUCAGCUUUUCGGUGGCAACAGUAUUUAUGGACAAAUAUAUGGGUGAAC
rnacentral:lncRNA from 1 species